UCUGCCACAGGUUUUUCUUCACAUACCUCCUGCCUCACAGUGCCCCGCCUUCACUGCGUCCUCUGCUGGACAGCAUCGUCAACGCCACAGGAGAGCUCACCUGGGGGGUGGACGAGACCCUGGCCCAGCUGGAGAAGGUGCUGCACCUGUACCGGAGCGGGCAGUAUCUGCAGAACUCCACGGCAAGCAGCAGUACCGAGUACCAGUGUAUCCCAGACAGCACCAUCCCCCAGGAAGACUACCGCUGCUGGCCAUCCUACCACCACGGGAGCUGCCUCCUUUCAGUGUUCAACCUGGCUGAGGCCGUGGAUGUCUGUGAGAGCCAUGCCCAGUGUCGGGCCUUUGUGGUCACCAACCAGACCACCUGGACAGGUGAGCCAGUGGGAGAAGCCCUUCCAAGGGAGAUGGCAGGACCCCUCUGGAGGUUGAUAGAUAGUGAUCCCCCAUCGGAAGUCAGAGGGGGUGCUGAGGUGAUGAGAGAGAGGUAUACGUGUCUUCAAGGCAGUCAAAUUAGGGAGAAUGGUCCUGCCUCCAGAAAGAGAAACAUCCAGCCCUGUUACCUCUCACCUCUGCCCCCCAGGUCGGCAGCUGGUCUUUUUCAAGACUGGAUGGAGCCAAGUGGUCCCUGAUCCCAACAAGACCACAUAUGUGAAGGCCUCUGGCUGACCUAUCUGAAGGCUCGGCUGACCAGCUGACUAUCCUCAGCAGCUGGGCUUGCCUGUGGAGGGAGUGACUUGCAUUGGCAGCACUGCAUGUCACCUGGGAACCCCUGCAGACAAAGCUAACAUCCCAGACAGACAGAUGUGACCAGGACAAACGUGCAAUAAUGCCAAAUGUUAAAAUGUGAGUUUACCAGCCUAGCUAUGGGACUGCUGGCUCCUAGUCCAGGAAUCAUGGGGGUAUGACUGCCUCUCCAACCCUCUGGGCUGUAAGCAAGCUCAGGCUAGUCUCCCCACUGGGGGCUGUGCCCCUCCCUGGGACGGUUCCGUGGGCAGCCCCAUCACUGUGUUCAAUAGUGUGAGAAUGUAGCUAAAGCCCCUGCUGCUGCUGCUGCACAUGCCACAGCAGGCGGGGGGGGCUGCGUGGGGACAAUCCAUCGUGGAGUGUUCUCUCAGCUUAGGUCUGGACAGGAGACUUGGCGGGGGAUGCUCCAGGAUGUGGGUGAUUCUGUACCUGGGGAGGCUAUCUCUGACCUCCCGACAGGGGACACUCCCAGGCCAGCCCAGGGGUCAGGGGCAGAGGUGCACACCUCAGCAUGAGCCAAGACUGGGGUCAGGGAGCAGGUGUGGUUUGAGCCAGGACCUGGGGCGGGGGUGGGGCCGGGGCCUUUCUGCCUCAUUUGCUUUCAAUGAAAGCCGCAAAGCAGCCAAAACCAGGCUUUCCCCCUUCCUCGAGUUUGAAUAUCCAGAAUCUUUUGUACUUCUUGUUGGUUAAAUUGUUUAUUUUU
rnacentral:sRNA from 1 species